AGAGUUUGAUCCUGGCUCAGAUUGAACGCUGGCGGCAUGCUUUACACAUGCAAGUCGAACGGCAGCAUAGGGAGCUUGCUCCCUGAUGGCGAGUGGCGCACGGGUGAGUAACACAUCGGAACGUGUCCUUUUGUGGGGGAUAACUGUCCGAAAGGACAGCUAAUACCGCAUAAGACCUGAGGGUGAAAGCAGGGGAUCGCAAGACCUUGCGCGAGAGGAGCGGCCGAUGGCCGAUUAGCUAGUUGGGGAGGUAAAGGCUCACCAAGGCGACGAUCGGUAGCUGGUCUGAGAGGACGACCAGCCACACUGGGACUGAGACACGGCCCAGACUCCUACGGGAGGCAGCAGUGGGGAAUUUUGGACAAUGGGGGCAACCCUGAUCCAGCCAUGCCGCGUGCGGGAUGAAGGCCUUCGGGUUGUAAACCGCUUUUGUCAGGGACGAAAAGGGACGUGUUAAUACCAUGUUCUGCUGACGGUACCUGAAGAAUAAGCACCGGCUAACUACGUGCCAGCAGCCGCGGUAAUACGUAGGGUGCAAGCGUUAUCCGGAAUUAUUGGGCGUAAAGGGCUCGUAGGCGGUUCGUCGCGUCCGGUGUGAAAGUCCAUCGCUUAACGGUGGAUCCGCGCCGGGUACGGGCGGGCUUGAGUGCGGUAGGGGAGACUGGAAUUCCCGGUGUAACGGUGGAAUGUGUAGAUAUCGGGAAGAACACCAAUGGCGAAGGCAGGUCUCUGGGCCGUCACUGACGCUGAGGAGCGAAAGCGUGGGGAGCGAACAGGAUUAGAUACCCUGGUAGUCCACGCCGUAAACGGUGGAUGCUGGAUGUGGGGACCAUUCCACGGUCUCCGUGUCGGAGCCAACGCGUUAAGCAUCCCGCCUGGGGAGUACGGCCGCAAGGCUAAAACUCAAAGAAAUUGACGGGGGCCCGCACAAGCGGCGGAGCAUGCGGAUUAAUUCGAUGCAACGCGAAGAACCUUACCUGGGCUUGACAUGUUCCCGACAGCCGUAGAGAUACGGUCUCCCUUCGGGGCGGGUUCACAGGUGGUGCAUGGUCGUCGUCAGCUCGUGUCGUGAGAUGUUGGGUUAAGUCCCGCAACGAGCGCAACCCUCGCCCUGUGUUGCCAGCACGUCGUGGUGGGAACUCACGGGGGACCGCCGGGGUCAACUCGGAGGAAGGUGGGGAUGACGUCAGAUCAUCAUGCCCCUUACGUCCAGGGCUUCACGCAUGCUACAAUGGCCGGUACAACGGGAUGCGACACUGUGAGGUGGAGCGGAUCCCUUAAAACCGGUCUCAGUUCGGAUUGGAGUCUGCAACCCGACUCCAUGAAGGCGGAGUCGCUAGUAAUCGCGGAUCAGCAACGCCGCGGUGAAUGCGUUCCCGGGCCUUGUACACACCGCCCGUCAAGUCAUGAAAGUGGGUAGCACCCGAAGCCGGUGGCCCAACCUUUUGGGGGGAGCCGUCUAAGGUGAGACUCGUGAUUGGGACUAAGUCGUAACAAGGUAGCCGUACCGGAAGGUGCGGCUG
rnacentral:rRNA from 1 species